rnacentral:rRNA from 1 species
AUUGAACGCUGGCGGCAUGCUUUACACAUGCAAGUCGAACGGCAGCGCGGGGCAACCUGGCGGCGAGUGGCGAACGGGUGAGUAAUACAUCGGAACGUACCCAGAAGUGGGGGAUAACGUAGCGAAAGUUACGCUAAUACCGCAUACGUUCCACGGAAGAAAGUGGGGGAUCGCAAGACCCCAUGAUUUUGGAGCGGCCGAUGUCUGAUUAUUGAGUUGGUGAGGUAAAGGCUCACCAAGGCGACGAUCAGUAGCUGGUCUGAGAGGACGACCAGCCACACUGGGACUGAGACACGGCCCAGACUCCUACGGGAGGCAGCAGUGGGGAAUUUUGGACAAUGGGCGCAAGCCUGAUCCAGCAAUGCCGCGUGAGUGAAGAAGGCCUUCGGGUUGUAAAGCUCUUUUGUCAGGGAAGAAACGGCUGAGGUUAAUACCUUUGGCUAAUGACGGUACCUGAAGAAUAAGCACCGGCUAACUACGUGCCAGCCGCCGCAGUAA